UCUGCACUCCAACAGAACAGGACAUGGGUUAUUACUCAGCAGGAGACGCAAUGGAAACUAUUCACUUGACACAUACGUACAGUAGCUUGUCAUAACUCAGACAGGUGGCUAAAGAACAGACUUUUCGAACAGGGUUGAAUGGCCUUCAGCUGAAUGAACUUCACACAUUUGAUGAGGAAGAGAUGGAAGAUUCCAGACAUAACAGCCUAAGUCCCCUGCACAUCCCCACAGAUGUCUUAAAACUGGUGAUCCCCUCUCCCGCUGACACCCACGCUGCCCCUGGUGAUGAUGUUACUCUGUCAUGUCACCUCUCCAUGGAGACCAGCGCGGUUGCCAUGGAAGUGAAGUAGCUGAGGAUGGCUGACUGUAUUUACCUGUAUAAGAAUGGACAGGGGACAGAGGGGAGAGGAUACGAGGGCAGAGUGAGCAUCCUUACUGAGGACCUGCAGAGAGGAGACGUCUCUCUGAGACUCAGAGAUGUCACACACUCAGAGAGUGGGCUGCACAGGUGCCAAGUCAGUCAUGGAGACUUGGAACUGGAGGAGACACUGUGGCUAUACGUCAAAACGACCCAAGAUGGAAAAGUUCCUCUCAGGAGAGUUAAUAGUGCUCUAAACGUCAAACCGAAUUUGGUAAGGCGGGGCAGCAGUGAGACUCCUCCAGAGCAUCGGUCCGUCCCCACGCUGAGGCCACGGCCGCUGAGGAGGGACAGCAUCAGACAGUGGCGGCAGAAAACACCAAGGAGAGCAUGGAGCAGUGUGGGAUGAGCAGUGGUGUACUGGAGAUCAGUUUAGAUUACAGUAAUUUCCGGUGUAUUAGCCGCAUUGUGUAUAAGCCGCAGGACAGUGCUUUAUGCAAGUUAAAAGAAACAAAAACAUAUUGAUACCAUAAUAACUGUCCCCGUGUAUUAACCUCAUAGCUGAAGACAUUUAGCAAAAUCAAUGUAUAAACCGCGGCUAAUAGUUGGGAAAUUACCAUAGAUCAAUUUUCAUUGCCGUUUAAAAAGUUGCAUGUACGGUGAAGUUGUUGAAGAAAAAAGAGAUACUUUCCCAGCAUUUCAAUAGAAGGUUGUUGUAAACAUGGACCUACAGUAAAGACAGACCUAAUGACUAGAUAGACCUUGACGGUAUAAAGUAUGAACUACGUUCAGAAAACAAGACAAAGCCAUUAUGAGCAUGCUGUUGGAGUGACCUUCAAGCCAUUUCAGAAGGUAGAUUUUAAUGUUUGUGUCUUUGAGUCUAGGAGCCUUUGUUACUAAUAAUGUUAAGGUAAUAAUCGUGUAUGAUGUAUUUCCUAAAGGAUUGUAUAUCUAUCUGGAUUGUGAGAUUCUAUUUAGAAUGUCUAGGUGUAAGUUCUCCCAGGAAAACACUACACCUGCUUUCAGGUCUUCCGAUAUCCCUUCCCCACUUAAUUCCACUCACAUCAGCUCUUUCUCUCUCCAAAUGUUUUGGACGUUAUUUUCUCAGCAUUGAUUCUCCGUUUGACUAUGGGAUUUUAUCUCAUAUCUCAAAUCUCAAACUAUAGACAGGGUUGAUAACAAUAACAAUUAGGAUUGUGAAGUUCCUUUCCUAGAUUAAGUGUUGAGACAUUUUGUCCUUGUGGUAGCACAUCUGUUGUUAAUCUAAAUUUCUAGUGCUGUGGAUGUAUCUGUACGCUUUCAGUUCAACUGUAGCAAAGCUCCUCAACUGAAAAUGAGGAGCUUUGAGGAGUUUUUUUUCUGACAAAAAAACUAUUAAAAGUCCAGAGUUCUAUGACAGUUAUUGUCAUAUUAAUUAAGAGUUUUACAAUGCAGUAUUAUUUUUUAGCACCACAUAUGCACCAUAUGGUGCUAAAAAACCCUAAUAUGUGGACCUCUUGGAUAGACCAUGUUAAUUCUCAGUUGAUGAGUUUCUCACUUGUCAGUUGUUCACCCAUUCUAAGGUAAAGAUGUGACAUUAACCCUGCAGUCACACAGGCUACAAGAGACAGCGACAAAGCUGCAGAGUACUAUUACAACGGGAGUAGACUCUGACUGUCUGGGGGCCUGUUUCAUCUCUCAGAAUCAGAGUUCUUAUUCCUUCUUCAGCAGGGUCUGUCAGUCAUACAUCUCUUAUGAGGAACAUUAAAUGAUAACAAAAGAAAUGCCUACAUUUGUUGUGUUUUCUACUAAUGGGGACAUACAUACAGUGUGUAUAUAUUGUGUAUAUAUCCU